AAAACCAGGGUCCUGUCCAAAGCCCAAACCAGGAACGGCGGGUAUUUGUCUUCAGAGAUGCAAUGGCGAUUUUGAUUGUCAAGGAAAUGCAAAAUGUUGUUCUAACGGCUGCGGAAAUCAAUGUUCUGCUCCUGAAGAUAAUGAUCCAAAAUGUAGAGUUGGACAACCUCUAUCUAACAUUAACUGUGGACGUGGUCCAAAUCGACGGGAUUGUCCAAACGGAUAUUCCUGCAACGUUCAUCCUACCGAUAAAUAUGCUGUUUGUUGCCGAAAUGAUAAUAUACCAAUCUGUAGAGUAGGACAACCUCUGUCUAACAUUAACUGUGGACGUGGUCUGAAUCGUCAGAACUGCCCAAGGGGAUAUUACUGCAACGUUCAUCCUACUGAUAAAUAUGCUGUUUGUUGUCGAAAUGUUUACAUGCUGCCUGGUUGAUGUUGCAACAUGUCAAAGUUAUAAGUUUAUAAAACAAAUUCAACUU